CUUCUUCUGGCUUAGGAGGGGAUCCGCCCAUGUUGAAUAACCUGCAGCUGAGAACUGAGGGUCACAGUGUUGUCACAGGUCACCAUGGAAAUAGGGGCGCGUUGCCUUUACCAGGAGGUCUGGCGCUUCAGAACAUAGUUUCUCCCUGACCUUUCUGCCUCCAUCCGCCUCUGCAACUAUCAGGGAGAACCAGAAACCUGCCCUUUGCCUGGGUGGAUUGGGUGCACAAACUCCUUUACCCAGAGGUCUCUGCCCAGCGCAUGCGCGCUGUGCCAGUGGCCGCCCAGAAGAUGGGCGUUUCCGGAGGCCCUUGCAAGCAGAGGUGGGAUUUCUGGCGUCACGGUUGUGACGUCUUUUGCUGGUGCCCCGGAUUCUGGAGUGCCUGUGUAGGCUGGGAGUCCUCACUGGGGUCCGCUUUUGGGGAGGCUCUGGAGAGGCCAACAGAGGACAGAAAAAAAGAUGGGACGUCUGUCCGCUUGGUUAUUACGAAACGGUUGCUGUCGUGGGACGGGCCGCCUAUCGUGAAGCUGUCGCCUGAGGCUGCGCUCCUUCGGAGGCCUUCGCAACCACCCUCUGUCCUCGUCCGCUUCCGGGGGCAGCAUCCUAAGCUUCUGCGCCUUUUGACCAGGAGGAGACUGGGGCUCAGAGCUCGACCGUCCUCUCGGGCUCACCACACCCAGGGGAGGGCGCGGGUUCCGCCGGCUUUUCAGCCCGGUUCUGCUCAUAGGACCCCAUGGCGGCUGCCGCGCUUAUGGACCGGGCUCAGGGUGGUGUGACCUUCAAGGAUGUGUUCGUGUACUUCUCCCGGGAGGAGUGGGAGCUGCUGGAAGAAGCUAGAGACUCCUGUACUGUGAUGUGAUGAUGGAGAACUUCAGACAUGUGGCUGCCUUGGAAAUGGGUCAGUCAGUGCAGCCUCUGUUCAAGGGAAGUGGCUCGUGCAAGGGCGAGAACACCAGGUGCCUACUGUUUGGAAAUUUGUCCAAGGAGAAAUCCACUCUUAUUCAUCACAGAAAACUUCGUGGUGGGGAAACAUCACAUGUGUGUAAGGAGUGUGGAGAGGCCUUCAUUCACCUGUCUCACCUAAAAACCCACCACAGAUUUCACCCUGGCAAAAGACAGCAUAUGUUCAGUGAAUGUGGAGAAGCUUACAACAGAAGCGUGCACCUUGUUCAGAACCAGAGAACUCACACCGGAGAAAGACCUUAGGCGUGCAGUGAAUGCAGAAAAGCCUUUAGUCGUAAAAGCACCCUUGUUCAGCACCAGAGUGUUCACACUGUUGAAAGGUCUUAUGACUGCACUGAAUGUGGAAAAGCCUACAGCAGAAGCUCCCACCUUGUGCAGCACCAGAGAAUUCACACUGGGGCAAGGCCUUAUGAUGCAUUGAAUGUGGAAAUUUCUUCAGCCGUAACUCCAGCCCCAUUAAACGUAGGAGAGUCCACACAGGAGCAAAGUCUUACAUGUGCGGCAAAUGUGGGAAGGCUUUUGGCUACAAAGACACACUUGAGCAGCACCAGAUAAUGCACACUGGAGCACGGCCUUAGGAGUGCAGUGAGUGUGGGAGGGCCUGCAGCAGUAAACACAUGCUUGUGCAGCACUGGAAAAUCCACACUGGAGAAAGGCCUUAUGAGUGCAAUGACUGUGGAAAACUCUUUGGCCAUAGCUCCAACCUCAUUGUGCACCAGAGAAUUCACACUGGAGCAAAGCCUUAUGAAUGCAGUGAAUGUGGGAAAUGCUUUAGCCACAACUCCAUCCUCAUUCUACAAAAGACACGUCACAGUAGAACAAGGCCUUAUGUGCGUAGUGAAUGAAGAAAAGCUUACAUUAGUAGCCCCCACCUUGUUCAACACAAGAAAGUUCACACUGGAGCAAGACCUUAUGAGUGCAAUGAAUGCAGGAAAUUCUUUAGCUGCAACUCUAGCCUCAUUCUACACCAAAGGGUUCACACUGGAGAAAAGGCCUUACUUGUGCAGUGAAUGUGGGAAGGCCUAUAGCAGAAGCUCCCAACUUGUUCGGCACCAGAAAGCUCACCCUGGAGAAGGACCUCAUGAAUGCAACAGUUUUGGUGACCCUUUAGCUGCGUCUCUUAAACUUGUUUAAUGCCCAGAAACUUCAGCUGGAGAAAGGCCUUAUAAAUGCAGUCAAUGCACUGUGUCCCUUUUGAAGAUUAUAGAACUCACACUGGCAAAGGUGGGAAUCAUCGUUGGUACAGAGACACUGAGAUAAUGGAGUGGGGAUGACUGAGGCUCAUGAGAGGAUGGAUAUCUGUUCUUAAGGCAGCAUCUCUAUAUGUCCCUGCGAUUUUGGCUCUAUGGCAUGAAAGUAUACAGAAAUUCUCAGGACCUUCACACUUCUGAGUCUCCUGUGGCCACCACACUGUCUCAGUAAAUAAAGGUCUGUGGAUUCCUGUACCUCCCUAGGCUGUUUACAUUCUCGCCAUCACUACACAGGCAGGAACCCCAGCAGUGACAGAAGAGAGAUCAGGGCUCGGGCUUCUCUGACCAGCCAGCAUUCCUAGUGACUGAGGUGGACAUGGCCUUCAUCACUCUGCAGUUUUUGCUGAUCCUGAGGCAGGGCUUAUGCUCCUAAGUCAUGUGGAGAGGGAUAUGGUAGAACCAGAACAGUUGGCAGAUGGGGCUUUCCAAGAAGAAUGGUAAAUAUGGAUAUUUAUGGCGAAUAUUUAGUUCUUAACAUCUUUAUUGAGGUAUGGUACCAUGAAAUACAUAUAUGUAAAAUAUAAAAUGUGUUGUUUCAGCAUGUGUAUAUACUGAUGAGACCAGACAUUGAGAUAAUGGAGAUAUCCAACACAGCCAAGAUUCCUUGUGUCUCUUUAUAAUGUUUCUUGCCCAGUCCUUUCUAAGCCCCUUUCCCACAAUUCACAAGUAAUAGCAAGCAUUUUAUAGUAUUUUAUAUAAACAAAAUCAUUUGAUAUAUAUUUUCUGGGGAGUGGGAACUCUGACUUUUUUCACCAGCCAUAACUAUUUUGAGAUUGAUCCAUUUGCCUCAUGCAUCUAUUAUUCAUUUGUAUUGCUGAGUAUUCAUCCAUUGUAUGGAUAUACCACAAUUGUCUUUUAUCCAUUUGCCUGUUAGUGGAUAUUUUGGUUGUUUCCAGUUUUGUGCUGUCACAGAUAAAACUGCUGUGACGAUUUGUGUAUAAACUAUUACUGAAUCACCUUCCAUUGUAUGGUUGUACCAUAGUUUAUCCAUUCACUGAGGGGUAUCUUGGUUGCUUCCAAGUUUUGGCACUAUGACUAAACCUGCAUUAUGCAGUGUUUUGUGUGGGUAUACUGCCGGAGUCCAGCUCCAGCAGCCAGGGAA